GGUUUUCUGGAGAGUCCACACUGUAGACUGGAGACUCUGAGACUGAGUUGCUGCAGUUUGUCAGAGAUCAGCUGUGCUUCUCUGGCCUCAGCUCUGAAGUCCAACCCCUCCCAUCUGAGAGAGCUGGAGCUGGGUGGAAACAGUCUAAGACUGAGAGAAAACAAGGAGCUGCAGGAUUCAGGAGUGAAGCUGCUGUCUGAUCUUCUGGAGAGUCCACACUGUAGGCUGGAGACUCUGAGAUGGAAGUGAUCUCUGUCAGAGUGUGAGGGGUCAGAAAGGUGGAGGUGUUGAGAGAGGAUCAGCUGUGUCCUGAUGAUCCAGAGAGGUUGAAGCAGCAGCAUCAGCUUGUGUGUGGAGAGGCUCUGACUGGGCCAUGUUACUGGGAGGUAGAGUGGAGAGGAGAGCUUCAUCCAGCAGUGACUGACAGAGGAAUCAC